UGGAAUGGUUUAUGUUUCAAAUAAUUUAUUGCCGUAGGAUGGGACUGCGGCCUAUCAGUUUGUUGGUGAGGUAAUGGCCCACCAAGACUAUUACAGGUACGGGCUCUGAGAGGAGUAGCCCGGAGAUGGGUACUGAGACACGGACCCAGGCCCUAUGGGGCGCAGCAGGCGAGAAAACUUUGCAAUGUGCGAAAGCACGACAAGGUUAAUCCGAGUGGUUUCUGCUAAAGGAACCUUUUGUCAGUCCUAGAAACACUGAUGAAUAAGGGGUGGGCAAGUUCUGGUGUCAGCCGCCGCGGUAAAACCAGCACCUCAAGUGGUCAGGAUGAUUAUUGGGCCUAAAGCAUCCGUAGCCUGCUUUGUAAGUUUUCGGUUAAAUCCAUACGCUCAACGUAUGGGCUGCCGGGAAUACUGCAAAGCUAGGGAGUGGGAGAGGUAGACGGUACUCGGUAGGAAGGGGUAAAAUCCUUUGAUCUAUUGAUGACCACCUGUGGCGAAGGCGGUCUACCAGAACACGUCCGACGGUGAGGGAUGAAAGCUGGGGGAGCAA
rnacentral:rRNA from 1 species